UCACCUCCGCAGGCUGGCCGGGUCCCAGGCUGGGCUGGGCAAGUAUCUCUUUGAAAGGCGCACCCUCAAGCUGGACUAGGAGC
rnacentral:pre_miRNA from 1 species